CCCUUAGAUGUUCUGGGCUGCAUGCGUGUUACAAUCGGGAGUACAACAAGAUUGCAAAUCCUAGUGGAUGAGUGGUUCUUCGAAAUUUUCUGAAGACUGGGAUAGUUGAUUGAAAUUAUUCAACUCAAACGAGGAAUUCCUUGUAAUUGUAAUUCAUUAUAUUGUAAUGAAUACGUCCCUGCCCUUUGUACACACCGCCCGUCGCUCCUACCGAUUGAACGAUCCGGUGAAUUAUUUGGAGUAGCUCUGGAAGUUGCAGAACUUCCUAUGUCACGAAAUUUUGUAAACCUUAUCGUUUAGAGGAAGGAAAAGUCGUAACA
rnacentral:rRNA from 1 species